UACGAGGGGGGCGAGCGUUGUUCGGAAUUAUUGGGCGUAAAGGGUGCGUAGGCGGUUCCGCAAGUCCUGUGUGAAAUCUUCGGGCUCAACUCGAAGUCUGCACGGGAAACUGCGGGGCUUGAGUGUGGGAGAGGUGAGUGGAAUUCCCGGUGUAGCGGUGAAAUGCGCAGAUAUCGGGAGGAACACCAAUGGCGAAGGCAGCUCGCUGGGACGGUACUGACGCUGAGGCGCGAAAGCGUGGGGAGCAAACAGG
rnacentral:rRNA from 1 species